UAACUCUGAUGUCUCCUCAUUUACGGAUAAAUCUUUCGCCUUUUACUAAAGACUUACGUGGAAAGGUACAAUGAGUCUUAUCUCAUUUUUCCCAACUCCGUCUUUGCAUGGAGU
rnacentral:snRNA from 1 species